rnacentral:lncRNA from 1 species
AAAUGAAAUAGAAUAAGUCAAGGAAAGUGUAUUAAUCAUGCAACUGGCUGGCAGCAUUAGUGGUUUUCACGUUUUAUCUGAACUUUGUCAAGUGUUUUAUAGUUUUUCAGAAGGAUCGAAUGUUUUGUUUUGUCUUGUUUCUCUUUUUUUAACUUUGCUUAGGUUUUAAAAGAUAAAGACAUAUUUUUCUUAAUCACACCAGACACAACCAACAGAGUGGGCUUGAUAUGGGCUUAUAAUGGCGCAAAAGGUAAAAAGGUACCUUGGAGACUCUGUACUAUUUGUUCACUAAGUUUCAAAAAAUUAGGACUAUUACCUUAAUACUUUACAAUGAGGAAACUUCCUGUUAAGAUCAGGGCUCAUGGGCAAAAACAUCCACCUAGAAUCUUCUUCGAACUUGGGCUUGUUUUUGAGCUGUGUCAGAGGUUUUACUUCUUGAGUACUUUUCAGCGGAGUAUUUGAUUUUUGUAAAAUGCCAAAUUUUGUGUGUAUGUGUUUUUUUUUUCCCUGGAGAAGGGGGUUCAUAACAUCAACAGGAUUCUCAAAGGUGAAAUAUGGUGACUUAUGAAAAGGCAGACAAUUCUGUUGUCAUUCUCUUUUUGAACAAGUCCUUCAGAAUGACAGAGUGACAGGUGGAUGUUACCUGCAUUUGUGAUUUGCUCAAUGAUAUGGAAAGUAUUCAAAUUCCUUGGUUGCCUUUGGAAAGAGCAUGUGAUUUAGAGGUAGGGCAGUAGCCUUGGCUUGAAUAUGGAGUGAUUCCACUUGGUUGUCAAGAAAACUUUUUUUUAGUGGAAACAUCCUUCACUGUGAAAACAAAGGGAGAGAGGUGAAGAUUUCUGUGAUUUUUGUCUUCCUCCUAUAAUUUCAUACAUUCUAUGGAAUGUAAACAAAAUUAGAAAGAAAUACCAGAGUGUGAUUUGAUACCAUCCCUGAAUUACAGAUUUCAUUUUGCUAUAGUUUCCUUAAAGAUACAGUCUCUGACAAAAUAAUAUUAUAUAUUAGGGCUCUCAACUGCUUAGUUUUUGCGAGGCUUUUACAAUUUUCAGGGGAAUUUUGUUUGUUUGCUUUUUUCUAUUCUGUUCAGUGUUGUACUCCUCUGUUUCUUGAGAUAGGGCUGUUGAAAGAAUUUUGAUAAUUGGACUGAGUGCCUUACCCUGGGCUUCUGGAUGAUAAAUUAAAUUGAUAUGACCAACUGUUCCUUGGACUUAUUUAUGCCAUAAUAACUGUUCCAAAUUUAUACAUGAAAUAAUCUUUCCUUCAAUUAUAAAAAAGGCUAAGGUUUAACCACGACUGUCAUGUACCUUUGUUGCUUUGGCGUCAAGGCCAGGAAUUUCUCUGAAUUUCCCAGUCUUCUUUCCUUGGCCUUGGAGAUUAAGAAACAAUGUUGAGCCGAGAAAAUGAGACAGUGGAGAGUGGCUCAGGACUGAAGGGUUAAUUCUGGGUUAAUGGGGAGGUUAUGGGCUGACUUUGCCCCCCCCCCCCCCAUUCACAUAUUGAACACACAGUAGUUUUAGGUCUUUCCAGAGGUAAUUAGUGUGAAAUAAGUUCAUCGAAUCAAGUGAGGUCAUCAGAAUGAGCCCUAAUCGGAUGUGACCUGAGUUCUUGUAAGAGGAGCUGAGGACACAAGCCCAGAGGGAAGACCCUGUGAAGACACUGGGAGGAGAUAGGCAUCUUUCACCCAAGCAGAGAGGCUCAGCAGAAGCCAACCCUGCCAGCGCCUUAAUCUCAGACUUCUAGCCUCCUGAAUUGUGAGAAAAUAAAUGUGUUGUUUAAGCCACCCAAUCUGUGAUACUUUGUGAUGGCAGCCCUAUAGCGGACUAAUACAAGGGGCCUUGUUUCAAGCUCAGUUAAUCAAAUGAGAAAAAAAAAAAACCAAAAUGGAUCUGUCAUUUUUCUUUGGAAAGCAAGUUUUUAUUAAUGUCGCUUCCCCAUAAUCCCUUUGAGAGUAUCCUAAAACCAUUGGUAUUUUGUUAAUUAAUUUUCCAAUGGCAGCUCCUUCAAAGAGCAGGAUCAGUAGGUUGUCUUUAAAGUAUCUUUUUCUGUGAAGCUUCAGGAAAUCUAUACUUUGAAAAAUAAUUUGAGUUAAUCAUUAGGAUUAAUUGCUUCAUUCCCAUCAAAAUAUUUUUUUUAUCUUCUUUGAUGGUUUAAAUUAAUGAGCUGUUUUUUUUUUUUUUUCCCCUUCACGACUUUCCAAAACACAUUGAAAAAAUUGUGAAAUAUUUGCCAGACAGACCAAAGGACAAUGUCUCUAGCCACCUGAACCAGAGGGAUUUAAUUCCAGUUAGUUACAGAGUAGGUCAAAGGCAGGUAAGCAUCAGGGGGAUUUUUCAUUUUCCUUUUUCUCCAAGUAAUUUAAGAAUAGUAGGGGGAAAUGAGGGAAGGGGAAGAAAUACAGUUUUAUCACCUCAGCUCUCAAUUUGGUUUAUGAUCCCUAAUGUCGAUUUCUAGUAGGAAACAAACAAAAACACACACACAAAAAACCCUCUUUGCAAUCAUAUGUGUUUACAGAAACCAGUAAUCUUAAGUUUACUCUCUUCUUUUGGCUUCAUAUCAGAAUAUAUCUAAAGUCCAUCAUUUUUACAACUUUGUCCUGGAAAAUAUGGGAAAGUCGACCUAUACAAUUAAAUGCAAAAUCAAUGUAAACGGCCCAAAGGACUAACAUAUUGGAUAUUAGCUUGUAGAGACAAAUGCUUUUUCAGUUUUCUUGUGAUCCUACCACUAUUGGAUGUAGAAAUUUAAGGCUUAAUCUCUAUUAUCUCAGCGAUCUAGUUAUAGGCAGAGUAAAGAGGAAUAAGAUAACAUUUUUUUUCUUCCUCAAAUCAGAAAGAUACAUGUUGCAUUAGAAAUAUUGUACUGGCUUCUGGGUAUUUUUAGGCCAUGAUAGAUACAGCAUUCCCUAGUACAAUAAAAGGAAAUUUGUCUUUUGCCCCAAAGUUAUAUUUUAGCUUUCAUCAAAUUCUUAUCUACCAUUAAGACUGGAAGGAGAAAAGCUUUUAGAGCAUUUCCAAGAGUUUGCAGGAAUGCUGUCAAGUUAACUAACCUGCUAGCUGGGGGUGUGACCUUGGGAAGAUGGCUCUGUCAUCUCUGCCCCUCAGUUAUCCUUCAGUGGUGGCAUGAAGGGGGUGGAUGAAAUUUUUGCUCUUUCCUUUUAGGGACCUCAGGAUUAUUGCCCAAUACCCAAAUCCAUGCUAACACCACACACUUGCCACUGUUUUUCAUAUUAACUUAGACAUGAUUGAAGUAAUUGUAUGUGCGUGCAUUUAAAAGCAUACUGAAUUCAACGUACCUUUCAUUGUCAUUAUCUUAGUCCACACAUAAAUGCUAAAAGGGAACAUUACUAAUAUGUGGGAAGAAGUCCACAGAGUUCUGUGUUUUUGUGUGCUUUUGUUUAUAAAUUGACCUUAAUACUUGUAUUCAGAAAGGAAAGGAGCAGCCUCAUUGAUUUCUAGACCCUUAUAGCUUUGGCAUUUGAUAAUUUUUUGAAACUUGCUAACUACACUUUAGGUUGACAUCACUGAAACCUCAGAGAUUUACUAAGAGAGAAUAUAAUUGAGGAGUUUACAAAAGCACAAUUUACAGUCGGUUUGAAGAUUCUCUUUGCCAAAUACGGAUCUGAAGUGUGGAGAGCUCCAUUGGGGACAGGAAUGGGCUGUCUUAUUUCCUGCUGUAUUCCUGGAGCCUUCCAUACACUGUUAGGUAGCGUGUGCCAAAAUUUUUUUUUUUGCUGACUGUAUCUCUAGAAGUAAGACCUGGUAAGAGUAUUAAUCUUAAUUUCUACUAACCUUACUUCCUCUAAUCUUUUUCUUUUUUAUUUUAUUUAUUUAUUUUUUUCCACUGUACAGCAAGGGGACCAAGCUACACAUACAUGUAUACUCACUUUUUCCUCCCAUUGUUGUGUUGUGAUGUAAAUAUCUAGACAUAGUUCUCAGUGCUACACAGCAGGAUCUCAUUGUAAAUCCAUUCCAAGAGCAAUAGUUUGCAUCCAUUAACCCCAAGCUCCCGAUUCCUCCCACUCCCUCCUUCUCCCCUGGGGCAGCCACAAGUCUCUUCUCCAAGUCCAUGAUUUUCUUUUCUGUGGAAACGUUCAUUUGUGCUAUAUAUUAGAUUCCAGUUAUAAGUGAUAUCAUAUGGUAUUUGAUUGGGUUAGGAAGAUGUGGUGCAUAUACACAAUGGAAUACUACUCAGCCAUAAAAAAGAACGACAAAAUGCCAUUUGCAGCAACAUGGAUGGAACUAGAGACCCUCACACUGAGUGAAAUAAGUCAGAAAGAGAAAGACAAACACCAAUCUUUCUUUUAAAGAAAUGAAAAUUGUUUUAAAUGAUUUAAAAAUUUUAAAUAACUAACUUUACUAAAUAAUAAUAAAUAAUUAAAGUAUGACUCUUUAUAGACUAUCAAUUUAUAGUCUUUGGGAGGAAAAGAUUGUGAAGAACUAGAUAAUCUUGUAUAUAGAGAGAUUCAAACAAUUUAAAAUUGUUCUUACAUCUAGGGAAUGCUGUGGACUAUAGUAAUAACCAUAAUGUGAAGAUUAUAUAAUUAUAAUGUAAACAAAUAUAUGCAAUUGGUUAUUCUUUAUAGGUUGUGACUGAGUAUUAUUGUUUGAUUUUCUAUAGUAAUUAUUACAUGGUUUCUGAUUCCUUUACUUGAAAUCCUAUCUUCUUUUCAGAAAGUCAUUAUUAGUUCAUGGUGUCCUUAUCUGGCUUAGAGUCCAAGAAGUUUGUUUGGCAUUUAGGUUUUUAUGAGGUUUGUUUCUAGCUGCUCUUUUUUAUAAAACAUCUUCUGACGUGGAGAUGGUUUUGAAUGGCAGAUAAAGGGAACUUCUGAUCUGUUGUCAAACUCUGCUUCCUUCUCUUUUCUAUCUAUGUAAAUUCAGUUGUGAGAAAAAAGAAAUGAAUAGAACUGUCACAUUAAUAAUGAAUGAAAUGAAUAAACUAAGGCUUUUGUUUAUAAAGCUUUUUUAGAAUAGCUUUUAUAAAUUAUACUUAAGUGUAAUAAUCUAUGUAUUAAAGCUCUUUUAUAAUUGCUGUUAUAAAUUAUACUUACAUGUAAUGAUUUAUGUAUUAAUUUUUUUUUAAGUCAGCUUUGGUUUUCCCUUUGAAUUUGCACUGUAGUCCUUACCUGACACCCAGCAUAAAACUCCUGCUUUCUCUCCCAGUGCAUCGUCUCUGCUUCCACUCAGGGUCUGCAUUUAACACUGUUCCUGUAUCCUGGUUAUCUUUUUUGGUGUGUACAGCCAGCCCCCAGUUUAGGAACACUUGACUUGCUGGGAAGGUGGCUGCCAUGGAAACCUCGCUCAACCCUUUAGGACCCCUUCCCCACCACUGGGGGCGCUGUUGGAGCUGGAAACCUUUUCUCCUCCAUCAGCCCACUUUACCCACUUUAGGAGGGACCUAGCACCAGACCCCUCUAGGACACAUGCAUGAAGGACAUUUCCUUCCCCAUCCCUCUCAGUGUGUGUGUGCCUUCAAGUAUGUGAGGUGCAAGACAGGGUUGUGAAGUUCCUUGUGGCAUUAAUUCACUGUAUUAGAAAGGACUCUAGGUUAGAAAGGAUCCUCUGAGCUAACGUGAAGGCAUCCCCAUGAUUUCUUGUUUUGUUUUGUUUUAUUACUCAAUGAAUUUACUACAUGUAUAGUUGUACCAUGAUCAUCACAAUCCAGUUUUAUAGGAGUUCCAUCCCACAACCCCUGCGCAUCCCCGCACCCCCUACCCCAUGAUUUCUAAUUUAGUUUGAAAUAAAAAUUGUGGUUCAAGAGUCAGAUUUGUAAAUUAACUUUCCAAUCCAUUUGCAUGUUUGGGGCUCACAUGUCUUAUUUCUGAUAGCGGAUUUCCAGUCUCACUGGGAAGGGCAGUUGCUUAGAAGUGCCUAUAGUGAUUUUUGCUUAUAUACUCAAAAAUGUAAUUCGUGUUUUGAGUAUUGAUCUACACUCCCCUU